rnacentral:rRNA from 1 species
UUCGCAAUGCCCGAAAGGGUGACGAAGCGACGCCGCGUGCGGGAAGAAGGCCUUCGGGUUGUAAACCGCUGUCGGGAGUUAGGAAAUGCAAGGAUGUUAAUAGCAUCUUUGCUUGACUAAGGCUCCGGAGGAAGCCACGGCUAACUCUGUGCCAGCAGCCGCGGUAAUACAGAGGCGGCAAGCGUUGUUCGGAAUUAUUGGGCGUAAAGAGCACGUAGGCGGCCGUGUAAGUCGGUUGUGAAAGCCUUCUGUUCAAAGGAAGAACGGCAUCUGAAACUGCGAAUCUUGAGUGUAGGAGGGGAGAGUGGAACUUCUGGUGGAGCGGUGAAAUGCGUAGAUAUCAGAAGGAACGUCGGCGGCGAAAGCGACUCUCUGGCCUAUUACUGACACUGAGUGUGCGAAAGUUAGGGGAGCAAACGGGAUUAGAUACCCCGGUAGUCCUAACUGUAAACGAUGGGCACUAAGUAGAGGGGUUUU